UAGGAAUCCUGGUGCAACACGGACUCCGCGCCCUCAUUUAGAAGGUUUUAACUAUUUUAACGUCUAUCAGAGAGAAAAAGGAAAAAAAAAAAAAAAGAAAGAAAAGACUUUACUAUUUUAACUUUUUUUUUAAAGGUUUUUUUUAAAAAAAAAAAUUUGAAAACCGACUAACGGAUCACCUCGAUCUCGACCUCUCCAAUGAUAUCAAAGAAAUUAUGUCGGCACUGCACCAGAUCCAAGAGAAAGCUCACAGGGACGGGCUUAAGAAGAACGAAGAGACCAUUUCAAGUGUGAGAAUUGCUUGAAGACUGAAACUGCCGAGUUCCGAGGACUCUAUGAGAAGUUUUGCAAGGACAAAGCCAACCAUCUACAGGCCUUGAAAGGCAUCAUUUCCAACUAUGAAGAAGAGAAUUGAAGGCUCUGCACUUGAUAUGAACAACUGAGUAAG